rnacentral:rRNA from 1 species
UGAGCAAUCUGCCCUUCUCAUCGGAAUAAGCGUUGGAAACGACGUCUAAUGCCGAAUACGACCUCCUUUCACAUGAUCGGAGGUGGAAAGCUCCGGCGGAGAAGGAUGAGCUCGCGGCCUAUCAGCUAGUUGGUGUGGGUAACGCCCACCAAGGCGACGACGGGUAGCCGGCCUGAGAGGGUGAUCGGCCACACUGGGACUGAGACACGGCCCAGACUCCUACGGGAGCAG